rnacentral:rRNA from 1 species
AUUGAACGCUGGCGGCAGGCCUAACACAUGCAAGUCGAGCGGUUGAGGUAGCUUGCUACCGAUGCAGCGGCGGACGGGUGAGUAAUACAUGGGAAUCUGCCUGGUAGUGGGGGACAACGUUUCGAAAGGAACGCUAAUACCGCAUACGCCCUACGGGGGAAAGGGGGGGAUCUUCGGACCUCUCGCUAUCAGAUGAGCCCAUGUCGGAUUAGCUUGUUGGUGAGGUAAAGGCUCACCAAGGCGACGAUCCGUAACUGGUCUGAGAGGAUGAUCAGCAACACUGGAACUGAGACACGGUCCAGACUCCUACGGGAGGCAGCAGUGGGGAAUAUUGGACAAUGGGCGCAAGCCUGAUCCAGCCAUGCCGCGUGUGUGAAGAAGGCCUUAGGGUUGUAAAGCACUUUCAGUGGGGAGAAAGGUCAUUCACCUAAUACGUGAGUGAAUUGAUGUUACCCACAGAAGAAGCACCGGCUAACUCCGUGCCAGCAGCCGCCGUAA